CGGUUGAACCGCCCAAGCUAGGAGGUGGCACCGCUUGAGCUCGGUCUUCGAGGUCUGGCAGGAGGUGCAACUACCUCAGUCAAGCAGUGGCACCGCUUAAGCUCGGUCUUUGAGCUCUGGUAGGAGGUGCAACCACCCUUAACAGGAGGUGUGUUAGGACUCUAGCUAGGAGAGUCCUAAUUGAGAGGGACAUUCAUGUAAAACCUACCUAAGC
rnacentral:lncRNA from 1 species